rnacentral:rRNA from 1 species
CCUACGGGGGGCAGCAGUGAGGAAUAUUGGUCAAUGGACGAGAGUCUGAACCAGCCAAGUAGCGUGAAGGAUGACUGCCCUAUGGGUUGUAAACUUCUUUUAUAUGGGAAUAAAAUGUCCCACGUGUGGGAUUUUGUAUGUACCAUAUGAAUAAGGAUCGGCUAACUCCGUGCCAGCAGCCGCGGUAAUACGGAGGAUCCGAGCGUUAUCCGGAUUUAUUGGGUUUAAAGGGAGCGUAGGUGGAUUGUUAAGUCAGUUGUGAAAGUUCGCGGCUCAACCGUAAAAUUGCAGUUGAAACUGGCAGUCUUGAGUACAGUAGAGGUGAGCGGAAGUCGUGGUGUAGCGGUGAAAUGCUUAGAUAUCACGAAGAACUCCGAUUGCGAAGGCAGUUCACUGGACUGCAACUGACACUGAGGCUCGAAAGUGUGGGUAUCAAACAGGAUUAGAUACCCUUGUAGUC